rnacentral:rRNA from 1 species
ACGGGUGAGUAAUGCCUAGGAAUCUGCCUGGUAGUGGGGGACAACGUCUCGAAAGGGACGCUAAUACCGCAUACGUCCUACGGGAGAAAGCAGGGGACCUUCGGGCCUUGCGCUAUCAGAUGAGCCUAGGUCGGAUUAGCUAGUUGGUGAGGUAAUGGCUCACCAAGGCGACGAUCCGUAACUGGUCUGAGAGGAUGAUCAGUCACACUGGAACUGAGACACGGUCCAGACUCCUACGGGAGGCAGCAGUGGGGAAUAUUGGACAAUGGGCGAAAGCCUGAUCCAGCCAUGCCGCGUGUGUGAAGAAGGUCUUCGGAUUGUAAAGCACUUUAAGUUGGGAGGAAGGGUUGUAGAUUAAUACUCUGCAAUUUUGACGUUACCGACAGAAUAAGCACCGGCUAACUCUGUGCCAGCAGCCGCGGUAAUACAGAGGGUGCAAGCGUUAAUCGGAAUUACUGGGCGUAAAGCGCGCGUAGGUGGUUUGUUAAGUUGGAUGUGAAAGCCCCGGGCUCAACCUGGGAACUGCAUUCAAACUGACAAGCUAGAGUAUGGUAGAGGGUGGUGCACUUUCCUGUGUAGCGAUG